GCCAUGAGCAUUAUGCACAGGUGCAUUCCGCGUACUGCAUGAGGACAUCGACGUCCGAGCGACCACACACUUCCUCCAUGCACGUUAUAUAAACACCGUGCAAGAUGCUUCAUCAAUUCAACGCCAACGACAAACAUGAAGGUUCUUGCGUGUGUGUUCGCCUUAGUAAUGAUCGUGUGCUUGGUGUCGUCGACGACGGCGUGUGGUUGCAGCAGCAGUAGUAGCCACAGCAGUCACCAUCACUCUCACGGCAUCAUGAUGCCCAUCCCUUACAUGGUGGGCGGCAGCGGCGGCAGUCACAGCCACUCCAACUACCUCCCCAUCGUCCUCACAACGGCUGGUUAAAUCCGUGGUGAACACGAUAUGUACAGCUGUAUCAGCGCACACCAUUGAGAGUUUCAUCGACCUGCUGCAAACACAGCUUCGCCUUGAUACCCGCUCUUCAUCACCCCCUCAUGCUAAUACGCUGUUGUUUGUUUAUAGCUCUUCACAUCAUCUCACACUGAAUAAAA